GGAAAGGUGCAAGAGUGGUUUAAUUGGCACGCCUGGAAAGCGUGUGUACUCGAAAGGGUACCGAGAGUUCGAAUCUCUCCCUUUCCG
rnacentral:tRNA from 2 species